AAUUUUGAUCCUUAUCUUACUUUUGUUUAUUGAUAUGUACAUUACAUUAAUUUCUUUUAAAUAACUAUACGAAAUUUAUUUAGAAUUCUUAUUCAUUUAGAUAUCAACUUCCAAUAAAAUAUUACAAAGAUAAAAUUUUUAAAGGUAAUUUUAUCUCUUUUGAUUUCGGUUCCUUAAAUCAACUUGACCUUUCUUAAAUUCCAUAUUCAGUUGCUUUUUACGUAUGCAUGUAUGUACAUAAUAUUUUCAUAAAUAAACUAUUUCCAUCGUAGAUCUUUUCAUUAAAUAUCCGUUUGAAACUUAAAUUAUAAACUAAUAAUUGGACUACCUUCUUUCUGAACAACGUUUAAGGGUAUUGUUCAUUUAUUUUGGUCAAAUUAAAUUUAAGACAUUAAUAUUUUAUUUUUACAUCUCUUGAGAGUGGAAUACUGGAAGAAAAUUUUGAUCCUUAUCUUACUUUUGUUUAUUGAUAUGUACAUUACACUAAUUUCUUUUAAAUAACUAUACGAAAUUUAUUUAGAACUCUUAUUUAUUUGGAUAUCAACUUCCAAUAUAAUAUUACAAAGAUAAAAUUUUUAAAGGUAAUUUUAUCUCUUAAACUUAAGUUACCAUAAUUAAACGGUUGUGUUUUAGCCAUUACUUGUGUCUGCUUUACAAACCUAAAAAAUGUCAUCAAUAUCGAUAUUGAAUAUUUUAAUAAAUAUUACUAGUAAAAUAUAUAAGUAUUCAUAAUUACAUUAAUAUUCAUUCAUGUAUGUAUAAGCCAAAAGAUUACAUGAUUAACUGACUAUUAAAGUAUAUAGGAAAUUUCUUCACUUAGGAUUGUACAAAAUUAUUUAUGUAAGAUCCUCCAUGCUCGUCUAAUUUAUUAUUCAUUAUACAGUAAUAUUUCAUUUAUUAAAUAUGGUAACUUGCUUAUAUAAAUAUAAAUUCU